rnacentral:rRNA from 1 species
GUAUUCCAGCUCCAAUAGCGUAUAUUAAAGUUGUUGCAGUUAAAAAGCUCGUAGUUGGACUUGUGGUGGAUUUGCUUGUCUUUCAUAGAUGAGCACCAUCUACCAUGCCAGGGCUGAAUUUGUGUGACAUUAGUUUGUUGUGCAAAGGAUGCCUAUCAUUACUGUGAAAAAAUCAAUGCGUUCAAAGCAGGCUUACGCCACUGAAUGUGUUAGCAUGGAAUAAUAAGAUAGGACCUUGUUGCUAUUUUGUUGGUUUAUGCAUAAGGUAAUGAUUAAUAGGGACUGUCGGGGGUAUCUGUAUUCCGUCGCGAGAGGUGAAAUUCUUAGACCGAUGGAAGACAAACAACUGCGAAAGCAUUUACCAAGGAUGUUUUCAUUAAUCAAGAACGAAAGUUGAGGGAUCGAA